rnacentral:pre_miRNA from 1 species
AGCUUUCUGAAUCUGUGCAAAGAUUUAAUCAGAUACCAACUCAUUAGGGUUGAUCAGCCUUCCAAAAUAAGUGAAGCU